rnacentral:rRNA from 1 species
UUUCCUACGGGAGGCAGCAGUGGGGAAUCUUGCACAAUGGGCGGAAGCCUGAUGCAGCAACGCCGCGUGCGGGAUGACGGCCUUCGGGUUGUAAACCGCUUUCGCCUGUGACGAAGCGUGAGUGACGGUAAUGGGUAAAGAAGCACCGGCUAACUACGUGCCAGCAGCCGCGGUGAUACGUAGGGUGCGAGCGUUGUCCGGAUUUACUGGGCGUAAAGGGCUCGUAGGUGGUUGAUCGCGUCGGAAGUGUAAUCUUGGGGCUUAACCCUGAGCGUGCUUUCGAUACGGGUUGACUUGAGGAAGGUAGGGGAGAAUGGAAUUCCUGGUGGAGCGGUGGAAUGCGCAGAUAUCAGGAGGAACACCAGUGGCGAAGGCGGUUCUCUGGGCCUUUCCUGACGCUGAGGAGCGAAAGCGUGGGGAGCGAACAGGCUUAGAUACCCUGGUAGUCCACGCUGUAAACGGUGGGUACUAGGUGUGGGGUCCAUUCCACGGGUUCCGUGCCGUAGCUAACGCUUUAAGUACCCCGCCUGGGGAGUACGGCCGCAAGGCUAAAACUCAAAGGAAUUGCGGGGCCCCGCACAAGCGGCGGAGCAUGCGGAUUAAUUCGAGCACUCCAGAACCUUACCUGGGUUUGACAUGGAUCGGGAGCGCUCAGAGAU